GAGGUGGCAAGCGUUGUCCGGAAUUAUUGGGCGUAAAGCGCGCGCAGGCGGUUCUUUAAGUCUGAUGUGAAAGCCCACGGGCUCAACCGUGGAGGGUCAUUGGAAACUGGAGAACUUGAGUACAGAAGAGGAAAGCGGAAUUCCACGUGUAGCGGUGAAAUGCGUAGAGAUGUGGAGGAACACCAGUGGCGAAGGCGGCUUUCUGGUCUGUAACUGACGCUGAGGCGCGAAAGCGUGGGGAGCAAACAGGAUUAGAUACCCUGGUAGUCCACGCCGUAAACGAUGAGUGCUAAGUGUUAGGGGGUUUCCGCCCCUUAGUGCUGCAGCUAACGCAUUAAGCACUCCGCCUGGGGAGUACGGCCGCAAAGGCUGA
rnacentral:rRNA from 1 species